rnacentral:rRNA from 1 species
GUGUCAGCAGCCGCGGUAAUACGAAGGGGGCUAGCGUUGUUCGGAAUCACUGGGCGUAAAGCGCACGUAGGCGGACUGUUAAGUCGGGGGUGAAAUCCUGGGGCUCAACCCCAGAACUGCCCUCGAUACUGGCGGUCUUGAGUGUGGAAGAGGUUGGUGGAACUCCGAGUGUAGAGGUGAAAUUCGUAGAUAUUCGGAAGAACACCAGUGGCGAAGGCGGCCAACUGGUCCAUUACUGACGCUGAGGUGCGAAAGCGUGGGGAGCAAACAGGAUUAGAAACCCUCGUAGUCC